UGAGCCUACGGGAGGCAGCAGUGAGGAAUAUUGGUCAAUGGUCGGGAGACUGAACCAGCCAAGCCGCGUGAGGGAGGAAGGUACAGAGUAUCGUAAACCUCUUUUGUCAGGGGACAAAGACUGGGACGCGUCCCCGGAUGAGUGUACCUGAAGAAAAAGCAUCGGCUAACUCCGUGCCAGCAGCCGCGGUAAUACGGAGGAUGCGAGCGUUAUCCGGAUUUAUUGGGUUUAAAGGGUGCGUAGGCGGAAUGCCAAGUCAGCGGUAAAAUCGCGGGGCUCAACCUCGCUCCGCCGUUGAAACUGGC
rnacentral:rRNA from 1 species